rnacentral:tRNA from 1 species
GUUCUUGUAGUUGAGUUGCCAAC